GAUGAACGCUGGCGGCGUGCCUAAUACAUGCAAGUCGAGCGAACAGAUGAGGAGCUUGCUCCUCUGACGUUAGCGGCGGACGGGUGAGUAACACGUGGAUAACCUACCUAUAAGACUGGGAUAACUUCGGGAAACCGUAGCUAAUACCGGAUAAUAUAUUGAACCGCAUGGUUCAAUAGUGAAAGACGGUUUUGCUGUCACUUAUAGAUGGAUCCGCGCCGCAUUAGCUAGUUGGUAAGGUAACGGCUUACCAAGGCAACGAUGCGUAGCCGACCUGAGAGGGUGAUCGGCCACACUGGAACUGAGACACGGUCCAGACUCCUACGGGAGGCAGCAGUAGGGAAUCUUCCGCAAUGGGCGAAAGCCUGACGGAGCAACGCCGCGUGAGUGAUGAAGGUCUUCGGAUCGUAAAACUCUGUUAUUAGGGAAGGACAAAUGUGUAAGUAACUAUGCACGUCUUGACGGUACCUAAUCAGAAAGCCACGGCUAACUACGUG
rnacentral:rRNA from 1 species